UACUCCCGCCGGCGACCGGCGCACGGGUGAGUAACACGUAUGAAACCUGCCCGUAGCAGGGGGAUAAGCGGAAGAAAUUCCGUCUAAUACCGCGUAACAACCCGAGGAGGCAUCUCCUCGGGUUUAAAGGAAGCGAUUCCGGCUACGGAUGGUCAUGCGUCGCAUUAGCUAGUUGGCGGGGUAACGGCCCGCCAAGGCGACGAUGCGUAGGGGUUCUGAGAGGAAGGUCCCCCACACUGGUACUGAGACACGGACCAGACUCCUACGGAAGGCAGCAG
rnacentral:rRNA from 1 species